AGGUGCAUAAAGCGGGCCCGCAUAAACGUUUUACAGGCUGCUCGCCUACCUGGCUGCCAAGCGUGCAAGCCGCGCGAACGAGAUAUUAUUUUGAACGUCUCGUUACGUCGCUGCGUGACCGGCUUCGACAGUGUUACGGUUUUAUUCCGCGGGAAAUAUUCGCCUUACCCGUGUUAACGCGUGUGGUCGAACCGCAGCGAAUAACAGAAUAGAACAACCAUGCUUGCUUCAAUGGCUUUCCUUCGAACGGAACGCGAAAACCCAUUGAAACGGCAGCUUUAUCUUCGACAAGGGGCACGCCAGGAAUCCCGCGGGCUCAACAAUGCCGUCUAAUGGCGGCGCGGAGACAGGUAUCGCGGGAAUUUCGAAAUCUACCACACGGGUGCGUACGUUUCAAAGUGUUGUCGAUAUAGUUCUCCGUAUUUCGCGCGAUCGACGCGUUCAACUAAUCUACUUGUCGCUGUUGACUAGCUUAACCGAGGAACUUAAUGCGAUUCAGAUUUUAUGGAUAACAUCGAUGUCGUAACCAGGCAAGAGGAAAAAGAAAUUUGUGUUUCAAUGAGGCUAAGAUUGAGAAAGUAUCUCUGGUUGGAAAACGAAUUAUUAACUGUCUGUGAAAGACUGUAAUUCAUGUAAUCGAUUUAUGUAUACGUAUUGAGUUGUUCGAACAAUUCAUAGCGUGUUUGGCAUCAAUCGAAGUAUUCUAUUUAGUAUUUGAUUGAAAAGAAGUUCCUAAUUGUAUUAAUACUAAAAAAGAUUGAAAUGAAAUAUCUGUAUUUGAUUAAUAAUAAAGUUUCGUCUCCUUUAUGAUAAACAGAUGAAGAUUAAAAUAUUGAAUCUGAA